rnacentral:rRNA from 1 species
UUUCAGCAGUGAGGAAGGUGGGUAUGUUAAUAGCAUAUUCAUUUGACGUUAGCUGCAGAAGAAGCACCGGCUAACUCCGUGCCAGCAGCCGCGGUAAUACGGAGGGUGCGAGCGUUAAUCGGAAUUACUGGGCGUAAAGCGCAUGCAGGUGGUUUGUUAAGUCAGAUGUGAAAGCCCGGGGCUCAACCUCGGAAUUGCAUUUGAAACUGGCAAACUAGAGUACUGUAGAGGGGGUAGAAUUUCAGGUGUAGCGGUGAAAUGCGUAGAGAUCUGAAGGAAUACCGGUGGCGAAGGCGGCCCCCUGGACAGAUACUGACACUCAGAUGCGAAAGCGUGGGGAGCAAACAGGAUUAGAUACCCUGGUAG